AUGGCGAGUACCAAAGUUCAGAGGGUUAUGACCCAACCCAUUAACUUGAUCUUCAGGUUUCUUCAAAGCAAAGCUCGUAUUCAGAUUUGGCUCUUUGAGCAAAAGGAUUUGAGGAUUGAAGGAAGAAUCAUUGGUUUUGAUGAGUACAUGAAUUUGGUUUUGGAUGACGCCGAAGAAGUAAACGUCAAGAAGAAGAGCAGAAAGACACUAGGGAGGAUUCUUCUUAAAGGAGACAACAUAACUUUAAUGAUGAACACGGGGAAAUGA